rnacentral:rRNA from 1 species
AUGAAGAUGGCGACUUGCAUUCGUAAGGUGGCCUCGGAGGAGUUUGGAGUGUCCAGGGGAAGGAGAAGCGAAGAUAACGAUACCUGGUGGUGGAAUGAUGAUGUCCAGAAGGCGCUUAAAGAGAAGAAAGAUUGCUUCAGACGCCUAUACCUGGAUAGGAGUGCAGACAACAUAGAGAAGUACAAGAUGGCGAAGAAGGCCGCAAAGCGAGCUGUUGGUGAAGCAAGGGGUCGGGCAUAUGAGGACCUCUACCAACGGUUAGGCACGAAGGAAGGUGAAAGGGACAUCUAUAAGAUGGCUAAGAUCCGGGAGAGGAAGACGAGGGAUAUUGGCCAAGUCAAAUGCAUCAAGGACGGAGCAGGCCAACUCUUGGUGAAGGACGAAGAGAUUAAGCAUAGAUGGCGGGAGUACUUCGACAAGCUGUUCAAUGGGGAGAAUGAGAGUUCUACCAUUGAACUGAAUGACUCCUUUGAUGAGACCAGCAUGCGUUUUGUGCGGCGCAUCCAGGAGUCUGAGGUGAAGGAGGCUUUAAAAAGGAUGAAAGGAGGCAAGGCGAUGGGCCCUGAUUGUAUCCCCAUUGAGGUGUGGAAAGAUCUCGGGGACAUAGCGAUAGUAUGGCUAACCAAGCUUUUCAACCUCAUUUUUCGGGCAAACAAGAUGCCAGAAGAAUGGAGACGGAGUAUAUUAGUACCAAUCUUCAAGAACAAGGGGGAUGUUCAGAGUUGUACUAAUUACCGUGGAAUUAAGCUGAUGAGCCAUACAAUGAAGCUAUGGGAGAGAGUCAUUGAGCACCGCUUAAGAAGAAUGACAAGCGUGACCAAAAAUCAGUUUGGUUUCAUGCCUGGGAGGUCGACCAUGGAAGCCAUUUUCUUGGUACGACAACUUAUGGAGAGAUAUAGGGAGCAUAAGAAGGACUUGCAUAUGGUGUUCAUUGACUUGGAGAAGGCCUAUGAUAAGAUACCGCGGAAUGUCAUGUGGUGGGCCUUGGAGAAACACAAAGUCCCAGCAAAGUACAUUACCCUCAUCAAGGACAUGUACAAUAAUGUUGUGACAAGUGUUCGAACAAGUGAUGUCGACACCGAUGACUUCCCGAUUAAGAUAGGACUGCAUCAGGGGUCAGCUUUGAGCCCUUAUCUUUUUGCAUUGGUGAUGGAUGAGGUCACAAGGGGUAUACAAGGAGAUAUCCCAUGGUGUAUGCUCUUUGCGGAUGAUGUGGUGCUAGUUGACGAUAUAGUCGGACGGGGGUAA